UACGUAGGGUGCGAGCGUUAAUCGGAAUUACUGGGCGUAAAGCGUGCGCAGGCGGUUUUGUAAGCCAGAUGUGAAAUCCCCGGGCUUAACCUGGGAAUGGCAUUUGGGACUGCAAGGCUCGAGUGCGGCAGAGGAGACUGGAAUUCCUGGUGUAGCGGUGAAAUGCGCAGAUAUCAGGAGGAACACCAGCAGCGAAGGCGGGUCUCUGGGCCGUAACUGACGCUGAGGAGCGAAAGCAUGGGGAGCGAACAGG
rnacentral:rRNA from 1 species